rnacentral:rRNA from 1 species
UACGUAGGGAGCAAGCGUUGUCCGGAAUCAUUGGGCGUAAAGCGCGCGUAGGUGGCCUCAUAAGUCCGCUGUGAAAGUCAAAGGCUCAACCUUUGAAAGCCGGUGGAUACUGUGAGGCUAGAGUACGGAAGAGGCGAGUGGAAUUCCUGGUGUAGCGGUGGAAUGCGCAGAUAUCAGGAGGAACACCAAUAGCGAAGGCAGCUCGCUGGGACGUUACUGACACUGGGGCGCGAAAGCGUGGGGAGCGAACAGG